GCAGAGCAUAUUCUAUAUGCGUCAAAGAAAAUGCUAAACCGUCAGAGCUACGCUUGAUGCACCACUACCUUUCUACCCCCACAUCCUCAUGCCCUCACCUGUUUAUCCCCACAUCCACAUGUCCUCACCACCUGCUUCUUUGUCUGAUCACCAAUAAAUAGUGUGGGAUCCCAGAGCUCGGGGCCUUCACAGCCUCCAUACCAGUGUUGGCCCUGUGGACCCACCUUAUGUACUCUUAACUUGUCUUUUCUCAUUCCUUUGACUCCUCCGGACUUCGUAGCCCCCACGGCCUGGUGUUGGGUCUGAUCACCCCAACAUUUCUGGCGCCCAACAUGGGGCUAUGAAGACCCCGGUGAAGGAAUGCUAGAGCAUGUGGAAGCAGAAGAUGCAUUGUCAGAGGACACCGAGGAUGACUGAAAGAAGCUCGGCGGAUCACCCUCUCUGGAAGGAAUCAACUGCCUUGUCAUGAGGAUACUCACACAGUCUUACGGAGAAGUCAAAGAACCGAGGUCUCCUGCCAACAGCUGGGUGAGUGAGCCAUCUUGGAUGAAAAUCCUCCAGCCCCAGUCAAGCCUUCAAAUGACUGCAGCCCUGGCUGAAAAAUUAAAUGCAACAUAUGAGAGACCCUAAGGCAGAAUCACCCAGAGACAGGAUCUCACCAUGUAACCCAUGCUGAUCUUCUUGAACUCCAAGGCUCAAGGGAUCCUCCAGACUUUGCCUCCCAAAGUGUUGGAAUUACAUGCAUGAGCCACCGCACUCAGCCCCUCAAGUAAUUUCCAAAAAUUAUGCAGUGCAAAGAGUUUUAUGUAUUAGGUAUACAUUUUUCAUAAUUUACACAGUAUUUUCACAUACAUUAUCUCAUUUGAUCCUAAAUGGACUUUGUUAAGCAGUUAUUAUCCACAUAUUCCAAAUAAGGAAACUGAAGCCCAGAGAAGAACUUGAAAAUCCUGUUCUUCAAGGUGGGAGAAUUGCUUGAGGCCAGUAGUUCAAGACCAGCCUGAGUAACAGAGGGAGUCUCCAUCUCUCCAAAUAAUAAUAAUAAUAAUAAAUGAUAUAGGCGUGGUGGCAUGUGCCUGUGAUCCCAGCUACUCAGGAGGCUGAGGCAGGACAAUCACCUGAGCCCAGGAAGUCAAGACAGCAGUAAGCCAUGACUGGGUCACUGUACUCCAGCCUAGAUGACAGAGCAAGACCUCCUCUCAAUCAAUCAAUCAAUCAAUCAGAACAAUAUGCAUUUGACAUCUAUGGCCCCUGCAUUUUCACGAGAGGAUUACUACCUUCUUUACAGAUGGCUUUAGAUUUGGAGGCUGGCUAAGCAUAAAAUUAAAAGACGUCAUGCUUGGAAUAGCCCUUUUAAGAAACACUUAACUCCUUUACUUAAUAGACAAGUGCACUGAACCACUCAUAAUUUUUUAAAUUAUUUUUAUUUUAAUAAUUAUUUUAUUUAUUAAGACACAA
rnacentral:lncRNA from 1 species